rnacentral:sRNA from 1 species
GCUGGGCGCAGUGGUGCACACCUAUAAUCCCAGCAGCUCUGGGGGCUGAGACAGGAGGAUCAAAGGAGUUCAAAGCCAGAGACAGCAAUGGGAAGGCACCAAGCAACACAGUGAGAGCCUGUCUCUA